UGGAGCCGGAUUGGUAAGGCGCUUCGUUUGGGACGAAGAGUAACUAGGUUCGAUCCCUAGCAACCCGAAAUUUAGGAUAGUUAGAUUAUUAGAACUAUUAGAAAUAUAGUCUUAAAGAAAAACUGAUAUAUAAUUAUUAAUUAUAAAAAUAUAAGUAUACAAAGAAAUUAUUAUGGAAUUUAAGCUAUGUAUUAAAGAGAAUAAGUUACAUAAAUAAGUAAAAACUCUUAUAAAUGUAUAAACUCUAAGAGAAAUCUAAUACUAAACGGAGUGAAUUGAAAUAUCUUAGUAACUUCAGGAAAAGAAAUCAAAAGAGAUUCUAUGAAUAGCGUGAGCGAAAGUAGAGCAGCCUAAAAAGUAGAACGGUAUCUGUUUAAAUAUUGGGGAACCUUCCUCAAAGGCUAAAUAUAAUACAUAAGCGAUAGUGAAAAGUACCAUGAGGGAACAAAAACAAAAAUAGUAGUUUUAUAAGCAGUUCGUGAGCGUGGGCUCUAGAACGUACCUUUUGCAUAAUGGGUCACCAAGUUAACAUUAGAUGCGAGCUGAAAAGUAAGCGUAGUUAAACCGAACGUAAAAAUAACGAAUAAGUGUCUAAAGUUAGACCCGAAGCCUGGUGAUUUUACCAUGGUCAGGAUUAUAAAAGUCCGAACGGGUGAUUGUAGCAAAAAUCUCCGAAGAACCGUGGUAGGUGUAGUGAAAGACAACACUGACUAGGAUAGCUGGUUUUCUGCGAAACCUAUAAUAGUAGGCAAUUUAAGUAAACAUCUUAGCAGGUACAGAAUUUAAUCUCAGACAAGGCAUUUUUAUGUUUUAUAUUGUACAAAUUGGGGGACCAUGAAGGUUUUAUCAGUGAGUAUGUAGACUCGGAAUGGCAAAGAUGUAUCUUAAAUGAUCAGACAUAGAAUGAUAAGGUUGUAUGUCGAAAGGGAAACAGCCCAGAACAAGAGUUAAGGUUCCUAAAUUAUUAGUUGAGUGAAAUUAAGAAGGUUUUUCUUAAAGUCGACAAGGAGAUAGGCUUAGAAGCAGCCAUAAUUUUAUGACCUCGUAACAGAGCGCUUGUUAAGUUAUAAAAGCAUCGAAAAUUUAACGGAUCUAAACAAUAUACCGAAACCUUGUCCAUCAUAUAUUAUAAUAAUUAGAUUAUUAUAAUUUAAUGGGGUAGCAGAACGUUGAGCUAAAUUAUGAGUUUUAUUUUUUGAAUAGAAUGAUAAUUAUUUAACUCAAGUGAGAAUGGUGACAUGAGUAACUAAAAGAAAAUUUUCCGCCUUAAGCUUAUGGAUAUAUUUAAGUAACGGCCUCUAAGUUUAUAAUAUCUAAAGAUUUAAACGAUGAGAAAAUCUUUUUUACUAAGGACGACAUUUUAGUGCAAAAUGUACUGGAAAAAUAGUAAAUAUAUUUAUAUUAAGCGCAAGUUUGUGCUUGCGUCAUAAAUGAAUAAUAACCGUACCUAGAUUCUGAAACAAGUAAGCUAGUAGAGAAUACGAAGGCGUAAAUGGGCUAACAAUCAUAAAGGAACUCGGCAAAUUGACUACCGUAACUUCGGAAUAAGGAGGGCUCAUUAUUCUUGAUUAAUAUCAAGUAAAGAGGAAGAAGCAUGAAAUAAUGUUGUACGACUGUUUAAUUAAAACACAGCACUCUGCUGAAAGAUGAAAAAUCUAAGUAUAGAGUGUGAUAUCUGCCCGGUGCCGGCUGGUUAACAGAGAUAGUUGAAUAUACUACUAUUUGAUGUCGACGGAAACCCCGGUUAAAGGCGGCCUUAACGUGAGGGUCCUAAGGUAGCGAAAUGCCUUGGCCGUUAAAUGCGGUCUUGCAUGAAUGGUGUAACGAUACAACAGCUGUCUCUAUGAUUGACCCAGUGAAAUUGGAAUAGCAGUGCAGAUACUGCUUACCUCUAGUUAGACGAGAGUGCGACUAGAAAGUAUAAUAUAACAAUGUGGUGUGAUUCCACCUUAUAACCCAUUAUUUGAGCUCAAGUGGUAUGCAAAGAAAGUAAUUUUUUUGUGUAAAGCCCACCCAAUAGAUUAUUCUGCUCGCCUUGUACACGAAGGUGAGUGAGCUAAUAUUACUAUGGAUAACUAAAUUGAAUUCACGUUUGAAGCGUAAGAGGGUUUAAUAAAUAAAACCAUGAAAAAAAUAUUAAAAAUUUAUUAAACGUUGAUUGUAUAAACAAGUUUUCGUUUGUUUAUUAAUGGGUCUUAUAUCAACAUACGUAUAGUGAAAUCCUAAGGUAAUAGUAAAUAGUGUUAUAUUAUAAACUAGGUAAACCCAAUAACGUCCUUAAAGUAAAAACAUAAGGAAGUAAAAUCGCGAGAUUUUAUGUGCGUUAGUGGGCAGAGGAUGUUCUAAAAAGCGAAUGUCAUUGCGGUAACCGCGAAGAAUAGGUUUAUGACUAAUUCGAAAGAAUGCUAACUUAGAACUGGUUUUAUAUAUAGUAAAAAUUAAAAAAAGUAAUUAAAUAUCGCUAGCUAAGCAAGCUAAGCAGAAAAUAUAAAUAUUAGGUUAUAUAUAUUUAUAUUAUUGGAUUAUAAAUCUAAGAUAUAACCUUUUCAUUCUAAAAAGUAUGUACCCGUAAGCCUACAAGGCUAACUUAUGUGAUGUUAGUUCGGGUCUUCGGAAGGCUAGCACCCUAAACCUUAGAUAGAGCAGAAAUUUAUAGUUUAAACUUAGUAUUAAUUAAUAAUAAUUUAAAGCUAAAAAAAAAAUAUUUAAGAAUAACGUCACAUU
rnacentral:rRNA from 1 species